AUUGAACGCUGGCGGCAGGCCUAACACAUGCAAGUCGGACGGUAGCACAGAGGAGCUUGCUCCUUGGGUGACGAGUGGCGGACGGGUGAGUAAUGUCUGGGGAUCUGCCCGAUAGAGGGGGAUAACCACUGGAAACGGUGGCUAAUACCCCAUAACGUCGCAAGACCAAAGAGGGGGACCUUCGGGCCUCUCACUAUCGGAUGAACCCAGAUGGGAUUAGGUAGUAGGCGGGGUAAUGGCCCACCUAGGCGACGAUCCCUAGCUGGUCUGAGAGGAUGACCAGCCACACUGGAACUGAGACACGGUCCAGAAUCCUACGGGAGGCAGCAGUGGGGAAUAUUGCACAAUGGGCGCAAGCCUGAUGCAGCCAUGCCGCGUGUAUGAAGAAGGCCUUCGGGUUGUAAAGUACUUUCAGCGGGGAGGAAGGCGGUGAGGUUAAUAACCUCGCCGAUUGACGUUACCCGCAGAAGAAGCACCGGCUAACUCCGUGCCAGCCGCCGCAGUAA
rnacentral:rRNA from 1 species